GCAUUCGCCGGCUCCCAGCAUCCGUUUCUCGAGACUUCUUGUCGAACAAUGUGUGACUAAGUUAUCAGGAUUUCAUUUUCUUGGAGCUUUUCUUGGACCAGAGCUUAAGCUAUCAUUACGCUGCGAGCUUCCUUCCACACACCAAUUACAUGCGUGCAUAUAUUUGUCGUCAAAUACCUUACAAUCCAUGUUUUUAAAUUUAUUUGUUUUUUUAGAGUAGAGUAUGAGUCGGGGAGAGGGGCAGAGCGAGAGAAAAAAUCUGAAGCAUGCUCCGUGCUCUGCCUGACCUUGGGCUUGAUCCCACGACCUGGGAGCAUGACCCGAGCCGAAGUCGAGAGUCGGACACUUGACCAACCGACUGAGCCACCGAGGUGCCCCUUAAAUCCAUAAUUGUCGAUAUCUACAGAUAAGGUGACCACAAUAUUGUAUAUUGCACCGAUGCAUAUACAUACAUCUAAUCAGAACAUUUAGAAAAUCCAGUAAGGCUCUCCUCAGUACACACGUGAACUCUAUAUAAGCCUUUGAAUCGUUCACCUUCGUUGUCUGUUGCCCAAACUUCCCCUUGGAACAUUCUGGUCUUGCCUUCUAGUUUGCCUUCCAAACAUCGUAUUUACCGUUUGGAUUAAAGUUUAAAUGUGUUCCGUGUUAACCUCAGCAGCACUUGUGUUGAGCACCUACGAUGUGCUAGCCUGGGUCGCAGAGUUCUAAAGGGGAAGGAGGCACGGUUCUUGCCCUGGAGAAACAGGGGGGCUUCUGCACUGUGCCGGGGAGCAUCUGAGACCUCAUCGGAGAAGCAGGCAUUCUCCUCGCAGCCUUGAGGAAUACAGGCCACACCGAGAGCUCCAAAACACGAUGCUUGUGCAGCCUCAUUUGUCAACCCAUCUCGAGCACGCUGUGGUUUGGUACGAGCUGUUCAUCAAGGCAUGAAGCAGUUAAGUAAACACUCGUGCUUGUCUAGAGAAUUCUUCCCUCUGUGAGUCUGUUCUGACCACAGUGACCUCUCUUGUGCUGCCUGGGAUCUGGUUAAUCUCUGUCUUCUUCUGAGUAAAGCACACAGCCCACACACUUCCGCCUGUCAGCCCAGGAGACAUCCAGUCCUGGCGCUGGGUGCCUGCAGCUCAAGGGCAAGGGACGGCCGCGGAUGUCACCACGUUGGCCUCCUGACUGCGACCGCCCCGAGGGCUGGCAGACGACCCAUGUCUGUGCCCAGGACGCUGCAGUGACGAGAUGAUGUUUUCUUAGACACAUCAGAAUUUAUCCAGCCAAAUUUUCAUCCCCUGGAGUGGGUGCCCCCAGAUUCCAACAGGGAAGCUCUGUUGGUUUCUUUAUCUGUGAAGGGAGAGAAUGGCAUAUUGAGAAGAGCACAGUCAGACAUCACAGAGCUGAGACGCAGGCCUCAUCAGUUGCUGUUACUGGUCACGGUCUCACGGUCCAUGAGUUCAAGCCCUACAUCGGGCUCUGCGCUGACAGCACGGAGCCUGCCUGGGAUUCUCCGUCUCCUGCUCUCUCUGCCCCUCCUCUGCUCUCUCUGUCUCUCAAAAUAAAUAAACAAAAAAAAAGAAAUAAAG